rnacentral:rRNA from 1 species
GACGAACGCUGGCGGCGUGCUUAACACAUGCAAGUCGAACGGAAAGGCCCUGCUUUUGUGGGGUGCUCGAUUGGCGAACGGGUGAGUAACACGUGAGUAACCUGCCCUUGACUUUGUGAUAACUUUAGGAAACUGGGGCUCAUACCGGAUAGGAGCUCCUGCUGCAUGGGGGGGGUUGGAAAGUUUCGGCGGUGGUGGAUGGACUCGAGGCUUAUCAGCUUGUUGGUGGGGUAGUGGCGUACCAAGGCUUUGACGGGUAGCCGGCCUGAGAGGGUGACCGGCCACCAUGGGACUGAGAGACGGACCAGACUCCUACGGGAGGCAGCAGUGGAGAAUAUUGCACAAUGGGCGGAAGCCUGAUGCAGCAGCGCCGCGUGCGGGAUGACGGCCUACGGGUUGUAAACCGCUUUCGCCUGUGACGAAGCGUGAGUGACGGUAAUGGGUAAAGAAGCACCGGCUAACUACGUG